UUUCUAUGGAGAGUUUGAUCUUGGCUCAGGACGAACGCUGGCGGCGUGCCUAAUACAUGCAAGUCGAGCGCGGGAAGCAAGCAGAUCUCCUUCGGGG
rnacentral:rRNA from 1 species